rnacentral:rRNA from 1 species
GUUANCACAGGCNGUUCNGGNGUCUAACACACACCAGGAGAAAGGGCGGGGCAAGACCGGUGCCAGCCGCCGCGGUAAUACCGGCUGCUCGAGUGAUAGCCACUNUUACUGGGCUUAAAGCGUUCGUAGCUUGGUCGUUAAGUCUCUGGGGAAAUCUUUUGGCUCAACCAAAAGGCGUCUCAGGGAAACUGGCGACCUAGGAACCGGGAGAGGUAAGACGUACUUCGGGGGUAGGAGUGAAAUCUUGUAAUCCCCGAGGGACGACCGAUGGCGAAGGCAUCUUACCAGAACGGCUUCGACAGUGAGGGACGAAAGCUGGGGGAGCAAACCGGAUUAGAUACCCGGGUAGUCCCAGCCGUAAACGAUGUGCGUUAGGUGUGUCAGCGACCACGAGUCGCUGAGGUGCCGAAGGGAAACCGUGAAACGCACCGCCUGGGAAGUACGGUCGCAAGGCCGAAACUUAAAGGAAUUGGCGGGGGAGCACCACAACGGGUGGAGCCUGCGGUUUAAUUGGAUUCAACGCCGGA